AUGGAGCUAAGCAUCAGCACUGCUUGUCACAGCUCCAGCCUAGAGGUCCUACUUUUAUCCUUUGGAGACACCCGGAGCAGGUUUGGGUCUUUACAGACGAGCACAGCGGUUUAAA
rnacentral:lncRNA from 1 species